AGAGUUUGAUCAUGGCUCAGAUUGAACGCUGGCGGCAGGCCUAACACAUGCAAGUCGAGCGGUAACACAGAGAGCUUGCUCUCGGGUGACGAGCGGCGGACGGGUGAGUAAUGUCUGGGAAACUGCCUGAUGGAGGGGGAUAACUACUGGAAACGGUAGCUAAUACCGCAUAACGUCGCAAGACCAAAGUGGGGGACCUUCGGGCCUCAUGCCAUCAGAUGUGCCCAGAUGGGAUUAGCUAGUAGGUGGGGUAAUGGCUCACCUAGGCGACGAUCCCUAGCUGGUCUGAGAGGAUGACCAGCCACACUGGAACUGAGACACGGUCCAGACUCCUACGGGAGGCAGCAGUGGGGAAUAUUGCACAAUGGGCGCAAGCCUGAUGCAGCCAUGCCGCGUGUAUGAAGAAGGCCUUCGGGUUGUAAAGUACUUUCAGCGAGGAGGAAGGCAUUAAGGUUAAUAACCUUGGUGAUUGACGUUACUCGCAGAAGAAGCACCGGCUAACUCCGUGCCAGCAGCCGCGGUAAUACGGAGGGUGCAAGCGUUAAUCGGAAUUACUGGGCGUAAAGCGCACGCAGGCGGUCUGUCAAGUCGGAUGUGAAAUCCCCGGGCUCAACCUGGGAACUGCAUUCGAAACUGGCAGGCUAGAGUCUUGUAGAGGGGGGUAGAAUUCCAGGUGUAGCGGUGAAAUGCGUAGAGAUCUGGAGGAAUACCGGUGGCGAAGGCGGCCCCCUGGACAAAGACUGACGCUCAGGUGCGAAAGCGUGGGGAGCAAACAGGAUUAGAUACCCUGGUAGUCCACGCCGUAAACGAUGUCGACUUGGAGGUUGUGCCCUUGAGGCGUGGCUUCCGGAGCUAACGCGUUAAGUCGACCGCCUGGGGAGUACGGCCGCAAGGUUAAAACUCAAAUGAAUUGACGGGGGCCCGCACAAGCGGUGGAGCAUGUGGUUUAAUUCGAUGCAACGCGAAGAACCUUACCUACUCUUGACAUCCAGAGAACUUAGCAGAGAUGCUUUGGUGCCUUCGGGAACUCUGAGACAGGUGCUGCAUGGCUGUCGUCAGCUCGUGUUGUGAAAUGUUGGGUUAAGUCCCGCAACGAGCGCAACCCUUAUCCUUUGUUGCCAGCGAUUCGGUCGGGAACUCAAAGGAGACUGCCAGUGAUAAACUGGAGGAAGGUGGGGAUGACGUCAAGUCAUCAUGGCCCUUACGAGUAGGGCUACACACGUGCUACAAUGGCAUAUACAAAGAGAAGCGACCUCGCGAGAGCAAGCGGACCUCAUAAAGUAUGUCGUAGUCCGGAUUGGAGUCUGCAACUCGACUCCAUGAAGUCGGAAUCGCUAGUAAUCGUAGAUCAGAAUGCUACGGUGAAUACGUUCCCGGGCCUUGUACACACCGCCCGUCACACCAUGGGAGUGGGUUGCAAAAGAAGUAGGUAGCUUAACCUUCGGGAGGGCGCUUACCACUUUGUGAUUCAUGACUGGGGUGAAGUCGUAACAAGGUAACCGUAGGGGAACCUGCGGUUGGAUCACCUCCUUA
rnacentral:rRNA from 1 species